GUCGAGGGGGCAGCAAUGUCACCGGCGAACGGGUGCGUAACGCGUAUGCAACCUACCUACAUCAGGGGGAUAGCCCUAGGAAACUGGGAUUAACACCGCAUAACAAUAGAGUUGGCAUCAACUUUAUUUGAAAUAUUUAUAGGAUGUAGAUGGGCAUGCGUAGGAUUAGCUAGUUGGUAAGGUAACGGCUUACCAAGGCUACGAUCCUUAGGGGCUCUGAGAGGAGUAUCCCCCACACUGGCACUGAGAUACGGGCCAGACUCCUACGGGAGGCAGCAGUAGGGAAUAUUGGGCAAUGGAGGCAACUCUGACCCAGCCAUGCCGCGUGCAGGAAGACGGUCCUCUGGAUUGUAAACUGCUUUUGAAUGGGAAGAAUGUGAUGCUUGCGAGCGUUAAUGACGGUACCAUUAGAAUAAGCCACGGCUAACUACGUGCCAGCAGCCGCGGUAAUACGUAGGUGGCGAGCGUUAUCCGGAUUUAUUGGGUUUAAAGGGUGCGUAGGCGGCUUAAUAAGUCGGUGGUUAAAAGUAGCAGCUUAACUGUUUUACAUGCCAUCGAUACUGUUGAGCUUGAGAUAUUUGGAGGCAGCUAGAAUUUCCGGUGUAGCGGUGAAAUGCAUAGAUACCGGAAGGAAUACCAAUUGCGAAGGCAGGUUGCUACGAAUAAACUGACGCUGAUGCACGAAAGCGUGGGGAUCAAACAGGAUUAGAUACCCUGGUAGUCCACGCCGUAAACGAUGAUUACUAGUUGUUGGGGUUUAAGCUUCAGUGACCAAGGGAAACCGAUAAGUAAUCCACCUGGGGAGUACGCCGGCA
rnacentral:rRNA from 1 species